GCACACCCCACCUUUAAGCAAGGAACUCAAAACCUGCAGUUGCUACUCAGUGUCCACUAGGAGACUGUGGCUGUACUGAGAAACCUGUAUGAACCUGUGAAACAAUAUGAAUGUGGACAAAGUGUUCCUGGUAAAAGAAAAACAGAGAGGAGGGGGAGGAUCAGAGCUUAUUUCAGAAGUUUUGAUUGUAGUACAGUAAGUUACACCUGCAGCUGUUCAGCCUGAUAAAAGACAAUAGAGUUAUAAUUGUCAAUGAAGAUGGGUACACAGCGCUGAUUUUUUAAACGCUGGAUAACUGUAUAAUCACUGCGACAAUGAACGUCUUCUUGGUUGCAGUUCUAAUCUUCUCCAAUUUCUCCUUCUGUGUGAAAAUUCACCAGCCCCCAUUUGUAUUCAGCCGUGAGGGAGACCUGGCUGUAACUUUGCAGUGUGAACAAGAUGAUGAACAAUAUUUAUACAUGUAUUGGUACAGACAAAGCAGCAGUGGGAAAAUGCAGCUAGUAACAUAUUCUCUU